GACGAAGGAUGCAAGCGUUAUCCGGAUUCAUUGGGUUUAAAGGGCGCGUAGGCGGCGCGGUAAGUCACUUGUGAAAUCUCUGAGCUUAACUCAGAACGGCCAAGUGAUACUGCAGUGCUAGAGUGCAGAAAGGGCAAUCGGAAUUCUUGGUGUAGCGGUGAAAUGCGUAGAUAUCAAGAGGAACACCUGAGGCGAAGGCGGGUUGCUAGGCUGACACUGACGCUGAGGCGCGAAAGCCAGGGGAGCAAACGGG
rnacentral:rRNA from 1 species